AUUGAACGCUGGCGGCAGGCCUAACACCUGCAAGUCGAGCGGAGCGGCUGACGGGUGAGUAAUGCCUAGGAAUCUGCCUGGUAGUGGGGGAUGACGUCCGGAAACGGACGCUAAUACCGCAUCCUAUCAGAUGAGCCUAGGUCGGAUUAGCUAGUUGGUGGGGUAAAGGCCUACCAAGGCGACGAUCCGUAACUGGUCUGAGAGGAUGAUAAGGCACACUGGAACUGAGACACGGGCCAGACUCCUACGGGAGGCGGCAGUGGGGAAUAUUGGAAAAUGGGCGAAAGCGUGAUACAGCCAUGCCGCGUGUGUGAAGAAGGUCUUCGGAUUGUAAAGCACUUUAAGUUGUGAGGCGUUACCAACAGAAUAAGCACCGGCUAACUUCGUGCCAGCAGCCGCGGUAAUUC
rnacentral:rRNA from 1 species